CAAUUUCCAGACGGCCAACACCUGUUGUGUAGCUGAGGCCCCUGUUAGUGCCAUUUAAUCUGCUACUGUUCCCAAGAAGAAGAUGGUUACUUGCAUACCUAACACGAUGUCAUGCUGUUACGUCUAGAACUCCGGAGACUGAGAGAAUCCCACCUCAAUCACUAGAACAACUGGACUCAGCUUUUGCAACUGAAAAAUCAACACAACUACACUUUGAACAAGGAAUCAUUCAAACCGAGAAGGAAAACCAGCAAAAAGGUUAUACAUCACUGCAAAGCGCUUCUGGCUCUCUUAUGAAGGGUUUUACCGGAGGCUGUGGAGAAAGAGAGGAAGAGCAUCUGGCAGUGGCUGUGAAAUCCACCUUGGCUCUCUGGUGCUGGUUUCAAGGAUUUCCUCAAGAAGUCAAUACAAGAAUCCCUGCACGUGCUACAGGAGUUCGAAAGCAGAUUCAUGGAUCCAGCAGGUUCAUCUCCUACCAAAGCAGAGCACUAUCUCCUCUCCCUGGAUUCUGCACCAUCAGUGUCUGUCAGCAUGGGUCUGCGGACAGGGCUGCUCAGAGCCAAACGCUCUCAACAAAUGACUGGCAAGAGCGAUUCUGUUACCACUUAAACUGGAUCCAUUUCCCACUGUGGGAAUACAGUGUAUUAACAUAAAGCAGGAAACAGUAAAGGCCAUCUGGGAAGGAGGGUUGCACAAAGGAAAAAAUGAAGACAGUAAAAAGAAAAACAGUGGUUGUGAAACAGCAGCAGCCAGCCAGGUAACACAAGUAGCCUACAGUGAACUGCAGUAAACUGAAGAGCAGAAAGACCUGAUUGGUAAGGAAAACCGUAACAUUCUGAUGUGUGUGCACAUGCAUGCACAUAAAACUGUAUGUGACAUUCUGCAACAAAUCAGAUCCUCUUACCUGUGCAUUUUAACAAGGCCAAAAGCAGCUGAUUCUUCCCAUCUAAAACAGUGAAGAAAAGGAAUGCUCUGGUCAGCAUGAUACCAAGGCAACUUUGAUUGCAGUCUCAUGCCCUGCAAUCCCUGGCCCCUGUGUUGCUGCUUCUAUUUAUUCUAGUUACUCAACAGACAUGUUAAUGACUGAAAAAGUAACAAGAUGUAAAUAAAAACUGUUACAGGCUGAAGGCUCUAUUAACUACCAUGAGUUAUUGGAAACAAAUGGCACACACAGGCACACCCCUGAGGAGGCGACUUCUGCCCAGUGCUUUGCACUGGACUGUAAACAUCAGCUUCAGCUCCUGUUCCAAUCUGGCCAGGUGGCAUUGGUUUUGGAUGGUGAUUAACAUUCAUUUCACUUUGGAAUACACCAACCACCUCUCUCCUUUUUCUGAAAAGGUUAAAAAAAGCACAGGGAAAUAGAUCAGUCUGGCAUUGCUCUGUCUGAACAGGCUGAUGAAACAAAAUGUAAGAGGGAGUUCUGUGGAACUGCUGUAGCUGUGAGAUUUUACUCUGGCACACAACAACCUGCUUUACCUGUUCUCCACAGUUAGCAUAGCCUGUUACAAAUUGAGAUAAAAUGAUAAAAUGAAUUGCUACGACUUCACUAGAUCAAGAUUUUUUCUCCCUUAAGUCAAUAACAACCUUCUCUGUAUUUACCUUCCACAUGUUUUUGUAUGAUUUCAACGAGGUUCUUAAUGCGCAGCGGAAGGUUCCAUGGGUCUUCUUGAACGCUGGCUUGGAUAUUGUUCCGGCACCUAACUGUGGUUUCUUCCUUCUGCUUGAAUUCUAGAAAGAAUGGACUUUGUUAGCCAUUAAGGGAAAAACUACACAGCUGAGGGUGAGUUACAAUGCGUGCACAGAUGAAAGCAGAGAUACAGGCAUCCACAGCAACAACUGUGAAUUAAACCGCCAUGAACUGGCUUCAAGAGUCUCAUUCUGAAUAUAAUACUUUGCACAAUGAUGAUCUACAGGCUGAGGAGAUAAGAGAUAAAACCCAACAAUUCUCUGGAGCUAUACAACCACAAAGAGAUCUGCUGGCUAAGUCUUGGAGGCUCUCCCAAGAUCUGUAAAAGUAAUAUGUUAGAAUU